AGGAAGGGGGUGCCUAUAGAUGCAAGUCGAGCGAACUGCAGGUAUUGCUUGGUGCUUGCAUCAUGAUUUACAUUGGAGUGAGUGGCGAACUGGUGCAGUAACACGUGGACAAACCUGACCCAGAAGCGGGGCGAUAACACGUGGCAAACAGAUGCUAAUACCCCAUAACAACUUGGACCGCAUGGUCCGAGUUUGAAAGAUGGCUUCGGCUAUCACUUGUGGAUGGUCCCGCGGCGUGUUACCUAUAUGGUGGGGUACCAGCUCACCCUGGCAAUGAUAGGUAACCGACCUGACAGGGUAUUCGACCCCGUUGGGACUGAUACACGGCCCAAACUCCUACAGGAGGCAGCAAUAGGGAAUCUUCCGCCAUGGACAAAAGUCUGAUGGAACAACGCCGUGUGAGUGAAAAAAGGUUUUCGGCUCGUAAAACUCCUGUUGUUAAAGAAGCAACAUACUCUGAGUAGUAACUGUCUCAGGUAUUAGACGGUAUUUAAACCAGAAAGCCACGGCUAACUACGUCCCAGCAGCCGCGGUAAUACGUAGGUCGCAAGUGUUGUCCGGAUUUAUUGGGCGUAAAGCGAGCGCAGGCGGUUUUUUAAGUCUGAUGUGAAAGCCUUCGGCUCAACCGAAGAAGAGCAUCGGAAACUGAGGAAACUUGAGUGCAGAAGAGGACAGUGGAACAUCCAUGUGUAGCGGUGAAAUGACGUAGCAUAUAUGGAAAGAACACUCAGUGGCGAAGGCAGGCUAGUCUGGAUCUGUCAACUGACUGCUGAGAGCUCGACAAGUAUGGGGUAGCAUAGCAGGGAUUCAGAUACCCCUUGGUAGUCCAUACCCGUAAAUCCGAUGAAGUUGAUAAGCCUGUUGGAGGGUUUCCGCCCCCUCUCAGUUGAGCAGCAUAACACAUUAAGCAUUCCGCGUGGAGAGUACGGCCGCAAGGCUGAAACUCAAAGGAAUUGGCGGGGGCCCGCACAAGCGGUGGAGCAUGUGGUUUAAUUAGAAGAUACGCGAAGCACCUUACCAUGUCUUGACAUACUAUGCAAAUCUAAGAGAUUACACUUUCCCUUCGGGGACAUGGAUACAGGUGGUGCAUGGUUGUCGUCAGCUCGUGUCGUGAGAUGUUGGGUUAAGUCCCGCAACGAGCGCAACCCUUAUUAUCAGUUGCCAGCAUUAAGUUGGGCACUCUGGUGAGACUGCCGGUGACAAACCGGAGGAAGGUGGGGAUGACGUCAAAUCAUCAUGCCCCUUAUGACCUGGGCUACACACGUGCUACAAUGGAUGGUACAAAGAGUAGCGAACUCGCGAGAGUAAGCUAAUCUCUUAAAGCCAUUCUCAGUUCGGAUUGUAGUCUGCAACUCGCCUACAUGAAGUCGGAAUCGCUAGUAAUUCCGC
rnacentral:rRNA from 1 species